GAUGAACGCUAGCGGCAGGCCUAAUACAUGCAAGUCGGACGGGAUUCAGGAGCUUGCUUCUGAUGAGAGUGGCGCACGGGUGCGUAACACGUAUGUAACCUACCUUUAUCAGGGGGAUAGCCUCUCGAAAGAGAGAUUAAGCCCGCAUAAAAUCACAGCACAGCAUUGUGUAAUGAUCAAAUAUUUAUAGGAUAAAGAUGGGCAUGCGGAACAUUAGCUAGAUGGCGGGGUAACGGCCCACCAUGGCGACGAUGUUUAGGGGAUCUGAGAGGAUGGCCCCCCACACUGGUACUGAGACACGGACCAGACUCCUACGGGAGGCAGCAGUAAGGAAUAUUGGGCAAUGGGCGGAAGCCUGAACCAGCCAUGCCGCGUGCAGGAAGACGGCCCUACGGGUUGUAAACUGCUUUUAUACGGGAAUAAACCCAGAUACGUGUAUCUGGCUGAAUGUACUGUAAGAAUAAGAAUCGGCUAACUCCGUG
rnacentral:rRNA from 1 species